rnacentral:rRNA from 1 species
AGUGAACGCUGGCGGUAGGCCUAACACAUGCAAGUCGAACGGCAGCACAGUAAGAGCUUGCUCUUACGGGUGGCGAGUGGCGGACGGGUGAGGAAUACAUCGGAAUCUACUUUUUCGUGGGGGAUAACGUAGGGAAACUUACGCUAAUACCGCAUACGACCUACGGGUGAAAGCAUGGGAUCUUCGGACCUUGCGCGAUUGAAUGAGCCGAUGUCGGAUUAGCUAGUUGGCGGGGUAAAGGCCCACCAAGGCGACGAUCCGUAGCUGGUCUGAGAGGAUGAUCAGCCACACUGGAACUGAGACACGGUCCAGGCUCCUACGGGAGGCAGCAGUGGGGAAUAUUGGACAAUGGGCGCAAGCCUGAUCCAGCCAUACCGCGUGGGUGAAGAAGGCCUUCGGGUUGUAAAGCCCUUUUGUUGGGAAAGAAAAGCAGCAGGUUAAUACCCCGCUGUUCUGACGGUACCCAAAGAAUAAGCACCGGCUAACUUCGUA